CCUCCUCCUCACCUGGGGCCUGAAAGGAGAAUCAGCAUCCCCAUGGCCAGCCUCAGCACCUUCCCUGGGAUCAGCCCCUGGGGAUCAGCCCCGUCUCCCAGGUGUGCUCCAAAAACCCUUCAGCACCCCUUGAUGAGGCCGUGACCCAGCUGGGGGGGCUCUGCCAGCGACCCCCAGCACCGGAGCCAGCCCCUGCCGUGAGGAUGCACUCACGUUUCCCGGGAAGGAGCGGUGGGAUGCAGGAUGCUGCAGCUCCGAGGAUGCCCCCGGGGCGUCGGGCUGGGAGCGGUGCCGGGAGGGCUCGGGAGGCGCUGCGGGAUUCACCGCUGGGAAGGAAAAAAAAUCCCAAGUGACGCAGCUCCAGCCGUGCCCAAGGCCGCUCUCUCCCUUGCCCAGUGACCCCACUCCUCCGGGUCCCUGCAGCUGGGAAUGCGCUCCUACAACCCCGGCGUGUUGUCGCUGCUCCCCAGAAACAAGGUCCCGGCCUUCCCCAUCCUCAUCCUCCUCCGAAACCGCGCUGCUGAGGGGGGCACGGCCCCCACCCUGACCUGGGCAGGGAUUUUGAGCCUCUCCAGCUCAGUGCCGGCAGCCCAGGACACAGCACGGCCGUGGGAUCCUGGAUGGCUCCAGGAACCACCAGCUCCUCGCACUUGUCCCCACAGGAUGGGGAGCAUCGCCAGCCGGGAUGUGUGCCCCACCACCCCGCAGCUCCAGGUGGGAGUGCGGCACAUCCAUGGGAAGGUCUCAGCGCUCCUUGCCCAACACUCGCUCCCUUCCCAGCUGGGCCGUGGCGAAGCGCUCGGGGAGGUGGGAGCGGAGCUUUGGCACCUCCUGCGGGCUACCCACCCCCCGAAAGCCUCAGCCGGGGGCUGACACCCCCCUCAAACGCACUCACAGCAGCUGAACCUCCUCUUCCAGACGGCGCGGGAGCCACCCCACAUCGCCGAGAGCCAGAGCCGAGUGCCGGGCGCGCGUCCCGGAGCUCCCUUUUAUAUCCAGCGCAGCCAGCGACGGGCCCUGUAUCCACAGGCACCUCAUUACAGGACCGGUUCCCAACUGGUUCCUCGCAGGCUUUGGGAUCGGCGAUACUGGCUGGGCCAGUGGUUAAGGACUCCCUUCCCACCCCAGCUGGGAAGGCGAGAGGGUUGUUUGGGUGCCGGCUGUAUCCCACCAAAUUCCAGAAAAUUCACUCCAGA